AAAAAACCCAACAAAAUCAGAACAAAACGCAGGCCUGCGGUGUUAACAUCUGAACUCGGUUUCAUCCUAACCGCGCCUUUCCUAACCCAAACAUACCAAUCCGCACCUUCAGACUUAACGCUCUGCAGCUAUUGCAUGAACUGUUUGCUGAAAUGUGAUGUGAAGGAGUGCGUUCGUGACUUUCGCUCCUUCUGAAGAGUACGGUGCAGAAAUAUGAAAAGCGCGGCGGAGAACGAGAGGCGUGGGUGAGUGAUUGAUUGAAAGGAAGGAAUUCAAAUAAAGGAGAAAAGCAAAGAGAGAAAGAGAGAAAUGGAGGAAGAGAGGAUAGGCAUCAGCUUUGAUGAUUACUGUCUCCGGCAGGAGAGCUAAUAUUAGCCUACAGAGUAAACAAAACUACGGACUGCGCAGAUACUGUAAUCAAAAGUCUGACUUCCGGAGAAUCGGGGCCAAUUACAGCUCGGAGAGACAGAAAUACAAAUAAGGGAGGUAGAGAGAGAGAGAGAGAGAGAGAGAGAGAGAGAGAGAGAGAGAGAGAGAGAGAGAGACAGAGACAGAGAGAGAGACAGUGAGGGAGAGACAGAAACACAAAUAAGGGAGGUCGAGAGGGAGAAAGGGAGAGACAGAAACACAAAUAAGGGAGGUCGAGAGGGAGAGAGAGAGAGAGAGAGAGAGAGAGACAGUGAGGGAGAGACAGAAACACAAAUAAGGGAGGUCGAGAGGGAGAAAGGGAGAGACAGAAACACAAAUAAGGGAGGUCGAGAGGGAGAGAGACAGAGAGAGAGACAGUGAGGGAGAGACAGAGACAGGCCUUUAAUUUAAAAAACUGUAAUACUCAGGCUGAUACAGGACUUAAGAGGUCACGCUAAUGACAGGAGAAGCUCUAAUGGAGACCGGCGCACGAAAGCCAGUGAUUGGCAAGUGACAGCAUCGAGUGACAGCUGAAACAGCCAGACUCGGUGGCACCUAGAAAUACACGAACACUCAAUGACUCACGCUUGCUAAUUCACGGCCGUAAAUGUGCUUUUAACCAACACAACUUAAACAGAAGAACAAAAAGACAUGCGCCGUCCUCCGUGCAUUACUCAGGCCCGCGUCCUAAUCAGCAUUCCACAUCUCUGAAACAAAGCUUUGCACGUAAUUUAUUGACUGUGCUGGACAAAGAGAUUGAUUCCGGAGUGCUCAUGGGAGUGCGUGAGGUUGUGUAAUGAUAAGUUAUAAAGCACGCAAUGCAUUCAGCUAAAAAUCAUGAGGCUUCGAUGUGCUGACAGAGUGACAGACGACGUGACGUCUCUGGAUCGCUCGACUUCCUUCCCUACGUACCGUAAACAGAAAGAAAGAAACAUCCAUGGUGGGAAGCCGUGAAACAUGUGACCACACUGUAGGCUCGGAGGAACUUCACACAUGACCUUUUGGUUUCAUGGGAUAUGUGAUCUUUUGCUUCUGUGGGAUAUUAUGUGAACAAUAUUUACAUUACAGUUACACAUUACAAAACUAGAUUGAAGCGAGUCUCACAGUAAGACUUUGUGUGGAACACUGAUUCGGGCUGAGGCCAACAUGGUGAUAAAUGAUCUAGUGGUUAAUUAAUUAUAGUUCUAGGCCUAAGUAAUUAUUCAUUCUGAUUUAUUAACUCUGAGGUAAAAGUAACUGUAAACAGUGCAAUUCCUUCUGUAAUGUGCAUGCUUUUUUUUAUUUUAUUGCAUUUGGG
ensembl:lncRNA